GAUGAACGCUAGCGGCAGGCCUAACACAUGCAAGUCGAGGGGCAGCAUAAAACAAGCUUGCUUGUUUGGUGGCGACCGGCGCACGGGUGCGUAACGCGUAUGCAACCUACCCUGUACUGAGGGAUAGCCCGGAGAAAUUCGGAUUAACACCUCAUAGUAUAAUUGAAUCGCAUGGUUUGAUUAUUAAAGGUUACGGUACAGGAUGGGCAUGCGUCCCAUUAGCUAGAUGGUAAGGUAACGGCUUACCAUGGCAACGAUGGGUAGGGGGCCUGAGAGGGUGGUCCCCCACACUGGUACUGAGACACGGACCAGACUCCUACGGGAGGCAGCAGUGAGGAAUAUUGGUCAAUGGGCGCGAGCCUGAACCAGCCAUGCCGCGUGCAGGAAGAAGGGUCCUAUGGAUUGUAAACUGCUUUUAGCAGAGACGAAACGCCGACAUUUAUGUUGGUCUGACGGUAUCUGCGGAAUAAGCACCGGCU
rnacentral:rRNA from 1 species